AUUGAACGCUGGCGGCAGGCCUAACACAUGCAAGUCGAGCGAGCGGCGGACGGGUUAGGAAUGUAUGGGGACUGCCCGAUAGCGGGGGAUAACUACUGGAAACGGUAGCUAAUACCGCAUACUAUCGGAUAACCCAUAUGGGAUUAGCUAGUAGGUGGGGUAAUGGCUCACCUAGGCGACGAGCCCGAGCUGGUCUGCGAGGAGGAUCAGCCAUACUGGGACUGAGACACGGCCCAGACUCCUACGGAGGCAGCAGUGGGGAAUAUUGCACAAUGGGCGCAAGGCUGAUGCAGCCAUGCCGCGUGUAUGAAGAAGGCCCUAGGGUUGUAAAGCUCUUUCAGUCGGGAGGCGUUACCGACAGAAGAAGCAACGGCUAACUCCGUGCCAGCAGCCGCGGUAAUAC
rnacentral:rRNA from 1 species